GAUGAACGCUGGCGGCGUGCCUAAUACAUGCAAGUCGAGCGAACAGACGAGGAGCUUGCUCCUCUGACGUUAGCGGCGGACGGGUGAGUAACACGUGGAUACCCUACCUAUAAGACUGGGAUAACUUCGGGAAACCGGCGCUAAUACCGGAUAAUCUAUUGAACCGCAUGGUUCAAUAGUGAAAGACGGUUUUGCUGUCACUUAUAGCUGGAUCCGCGCCGCAUUAGCUAGUUGUUAAGGUAACGGCUUACCAAGGCAACGAUGCGUAGCCGACCUGAGAGGGUGAUCGGCGACACGGGAACGGAGACACGGUCCAGACUCCUACGGGAGGCAGCAGUAGGGAAUCUUCCGCAAAGGGCGAAAGCCUGACGGAGCAACGCCGCGUGAGUGAUGAAGGUCUUCGGAGCGUAAAACUCUGUUAUUAGGGAAGAACAAAUGUGUAAGUAACUAUGCACGUCUUGACGGUACCUAAUCAGAAAGCCACGGCUAACUACGUG
rnacentral:rRNA from 1 species